UUAAUUGAAGAGUUUGAUCAUGGCUCAGAUUGAACGCUGGCGGCAGGCCUAACACAUGCAAGUCGGGCGGUAACAGAGAGAAGCUUGCUUCUCUGCUGACGAGCGGCGGACGGGUGAGUAAUGUAUGGGGAUCUGCCUGAUGGCGGGGGAUAACUACUGGAAACGGUAGCUAAUACCGCAUAAUGUCUGCGGACCAAACUGGGUGACCUCCGGGCCUCGCGCCAUCACAUGAACCCGUAUGCGUUUAUCUAGUCGGUUAGGUGACGGCUUUCCUAUGCGACGAACCCUAGCUUGUCCGAGAGGAUGAACAGCUACCCUGGGACUGAGACACGGCCCAGACGCC
rnacentral:rRNA from 1 species